ensembl:lncRNA
CUUAGGGGAUGUCCGGUAGAGGUCACUUGGUGGUGAGGGGACUUGGUGGCGUUCGGGAUGCUGGGAUAGAAAAUUUACUCUGGUGCCUUGGCAGAAUCUGGAGUGCUGGGAUGGGGAAGUUCUUCAGAGAGCACUGAGGUCACGCAGCUGAGUUUUCCUCCUUGUCUUCAAGACACAGGAACUUGCAUUCAGCUACAAAACCGAGCGGGCUGCAAAUCUCAUCAUAUCAUAUGACUCCGAGCAGUAGCCUUAAAAUCAAUGGUAAACAUUAUAAGACACUAAAGAAAAUCAUGGGAACUUUUUCUUAUCUGAGUCAACACAUCCCCUGGUACCAACGUGAUGAAAUAGCCCCUGCCAGAUAUAAUCCUUCCUUUCUUCAAGGGUGAACCAAAUUGUGGACUGGCAGAUGCUCAAGUCACCAGCUUUAAUCACAAUUUAAUCACGAGUUCAAUCAGCAAGCUGGAAGUUUGAUCUUGCUAAGUCAUUUUCAGCUGAUUUCAUGUGUGCAACAUAGUUUCAUAAAAAGGUUAAUUCCUCUGGGUUGGUAAAUCUGUGUCUUGCAAUCAGUUGCCUUUAUAUUAAAUUCUAAAUUUUAAAUAUUAAAGUUGAUAUUAUCACAUAAGCCAGCUGAACACUUUGCUAGCAUCUAUAAAGCAAUAUGUAUCUUAACACAGAUUUACUUUGGCUCUAACAUUUUACUUUUUCUUAAAUUUCCUUGGCUGCUUUUGAAGAACCAUUUCCAAGAACUGGUUGCUGGAUAGCAAUUUUUCAUCUGGGAAUUGCCUCAGGCUCUUUUUGCCCAAGUAUUGCACAGCAUUUGGAGAACACACACACAAGACAUUUGAAGUAGGUGGAUAGUUCUUAAAAUUUCAUUUUCUGUGGAUAUCCUUCAAAUUAUUCAUCAAAGCAGACUGUGUGUAUAUGUGCAAAGGAAGGCUUUCCCAAGGCUCCCUCUCACCAGUUGUGCAUCCUGCACUCCUGCCAGCCAGUAGUAAUGGUUCUCCCUGCUGCUCCACUCAGCAAUGGAAAGUUAUCUGAAGCCUUAUUUUCAGAUGCUGAAACUUUUACAAGAGAGCCCAGUAUGUGUGAAAACACACAGGCUAUAAAAGAGAGAAAGAGGAAAAAUCCUGAUUUCACCCCUUCCUGCCCUUCACUGCAGUGAGAGAUAGCAAUCCCUUAGUGGUUAUUUGUACUCAACACUUCACUGUGAAACCAUAGUCUUGGCUUACCAAAAGCAUAAUUUGCACUUCAAAAUACUUGGAUUUUUGAAACCUGUGCAAAUAGCCCUUAAAGCUCAGCUGUGUUGGUAGUAGAGUCUGUGGGCUCUGGCUCCUAAACUCUGCUAUAUUAUUUCAGCAACUAAGAUGUCCCACAGCUGUCUCCAUACCUUUUGUUCCCCCAAGGAUUUCUAUUUCUCUGCAGAGGCAAAGAGGUGCAGAAUCCCAUUUAAAUGAGGGAGAGGAGAGGAGAGGAGAGGAGAGGAGAGGAGAGGAGAGGAGAGGAGAGGAGAGGAGAGGAGAGGAGAGGAGAGGAGAGGAGAGGAGAGAAGAGAUCCUUCGCUUUUCCCAAAGCCUUGGUUGGAUAAAAGUCUGGAGAGGCUUGGGUCACAAAUGGUCAGUUUAUGUUGAUUUACUUCCAUCUAUCUUUGUGAUCUUACAGAAAUAUGGAUGAGAAUUAUUAAUGCUACUUGCAAAAAUAGCAAAGUGAGAAAAAAUGAAACCAAGUAAGCAAAUACACAAGAUUUUCUCUAACUACUAGAAAUGAAAAAGAAGUAAUUAAAAGAAAGAAAAUAAAGUCCUGAGAAAAUUUAAUUUAAAUAUUAGAUGAUGGUUCUAUACUUAAAAUCAGAAGAGCCAAGGCACUCCAAUAGUUUCAGGUAGUAAGGGAUGCAAAGAGCAAUCCUGGCAAUUUUGUACGUGUGAAAGGAAGGAUAGAGUAAAUCUCUGAAUUCUCAGAGACAAGAAGACAAAUACUCACACAGAAACCACAGAAAAUACUUUCUAUAUUUUUUCUCUUUAAAGAAGGAUUAGCCAAGGCCUGACUGACAAGUAAAAUUGGUUUAUAAAGAGUAGAGCAGAGACGGAACAGGACAAGAAUGUGUCCAAAGAUGAGAUGAGGUAAAUCUGAGGUAUGCCAGAGCCUGAAGAAACCUGUGCAGGAGGAGCUAUGAAGUGAGGCCAGGGCAGCUGACCUAAACCCACCAAAGAGACAUUCCAUACUGUAUGGUGUUAUAGUCAGCAUAAAAGUGAGGAAAGAGGAAGAAGGGGGGCUAUCAUAAUAAAA